rnacentral:rRNA from 1 species
CCCUUAGAUGUUCUGGGCUGCACGCGCGCUACACUGAUGCAUCCAACAAGUUUUUUCCUUGUUCGAGAGGACUAGGUAAUCUUAUGAGAAUGCAUCGUGAUGGGGAUAGAUUAUUGCAAUUAUUAAUCUUCAACGAGGAGUUCCUAGUAAGCGCGAGUCAUCAGCUCGUGCUGAUUACGUCCCUGCCCUUUGUACACACCGCCCGUCGCUGCAACUGAUUGGGUGACCUGGUGAACAUCUUGGACCGGCCCACUCAAUUUCGAGAGGACUGGAAAAGGCCGUAAAUCAGGUACAUCUAGAAAUUGCAAAAGUCGUAACA